CUCCGCCAUUCUACUUCAGCAGACUAAGCCGGACGGGACACUCCUCUAAACACAAUGCUGAUGAACAGGCUUGCCGUGGCCUCCAGGGGCCUCAUGACCUCGGCCAUCAGGAGGGGAGGUGACGGGGGAGUGCCUGGCGCGAACCUGCCUUUCCAAAUCAAGAACAGAUUUAAGCUCACUGUUGUGUUUGUUGCUUUCUUCGGCUCUGGCAUGGCCCUUCCCUUCGUUCUUGUACGCCACCAGCUGCUGAAG